rnacentral:tRNA from 1 species
GCAUGUGUAGCUCAGUUGGAUAGAGCGCUGGUCUACGAAACCGGAGGUCAAAGGUUCGAAUCCUUUCACGUGCGCCA